ACUUAGGUAGUUCAAUGGUAGAACAGAUGCCUCAUAUGCAUCAAGUGAAGGUUCAAUUCCUUCCUUAGGUA